rnacentral:rRNA from 1 species
UGGGGAAUUUUGGACAAUGGGCGCAAGCCUGAUCCAGCAAUGCCGCGUGCAGGAUGAAGGCCUUCGGGUUGUAAACUGCUUUUGUACGGAGCGAAAAGGCUUCCACUAAUACUGGGGGCUCAUGACGGUACCGUAAGAAUAAGCACCGGCUAACUACGUGCCAGCAGCCGCGGUAAUACGUAGGGUGCAAGCGUUAAUCGGAAUUACUGGGCGUAAAGCGUGCGCAGGCGGUCUUGUAAGACAGGUGUGAAAUCCCCGGGCUUAACCUGGGAACUGCACUUGUGACUGCAAGGCUGGAGUACGGCAGAGGGGGAUGGAAUUCCGCGUGUAGCAGUGAAAUGCGUAGAUAUGCGGAGGAACACCGAUGGCGAAGGCAAUCCCCUGGGCCUGUACUGACGCUCAUGCACGAAAGCGUGGGGAGCAAACAGGAUUAGAUACCCUGGUAGUCCACGCCCUAAACAAUGUCAACUGGUUGUUGGGUCUUCACUGACUCAGUAACGAAGCUAACGCGUGAAGUUGACCGCCUGGGGAGUACGGCCGCAAGGUUG